rnacentral:lncRNA from 10 species
UUGACAGUUUGGCUUCCCUGUUCUGGGUGGCAAAGCCUGUGGAGUACUCACCUACCUGCUGCAUGAAGGCAGCAUGGAGGGACUGUGGUGGAUUAUCUGCAAAGAUGGCCAAAAUUCUCUCAUCCCUGCAGGCACAUACAAGCCAGGUUUCCAGAAGUUCCCCAGUCAUUGAGCAUUUCUGAGGCUCUUGAUGCAUAUGCCAAGUAGUUAUGGAGAAAGACACAGCAGCUUACCUCUGCAGGCAUCAUUGUGUGAAAGGAAGACCCAGGCUCUCUCACCACCCUUGAACAGAAGCCUUUUGCUAAGGUGAUAGCUACAUGUCCAAGCCUAUUGCGUGGCAUGCAUUUUGCCUUCUGCAGCCCACUAAAGGUACACAAACACCAUUAGCCAAUCUGAAAAAAGAAAUUGAUGUCUAACUGGUUAUUAUUUCCUAGCAAGUGUUCUGCAAGUUGGGAAAUUGAAGUAUACAGAAUGCUUAUUUGGUCUACUCAGUAUCAUCCUAAAUGUAUGUACCAAUGCUUAGGAGUUUGCAGUUCACCCGCAAACCUCAGCGAUCCAAGCUCCCCUGGAUGACCAUCACUCACCAAGAAAAGAGCAAUAACAGGACCUGUUUUGCUAAUCCAGGACUGUUCUCCAGCACUAACUCUAAAUAAUCCCUUCUGCUAGAGUCCACUUUCUGGAACCUGUUGCCUCCGUUUUCAACG